AAAUUGAAGAGUUUGAUCAUGGCUCAGAUUGAACGCUGGCGGCAGGCCUAACACAUGCAAGUCGAACGGUAACAGGAAGCAGCUUGCUGCUUCGCUGACGAGUGGCGGACGGGU
rnacentral:rRNA from 6 species